AUAGAGAUAGACAGAUAGAUAGAGAGAUACAGCAAAAAAUGUUAAAAAAAAGAAGAACCAAAAUAUUAAAAAGAAAAAAAGAAAAAGAUCUGUACAGGUAACUCUCGAUUUACGCGAGUUUGGUUUAAUUGUUUUUGAAAUACCGCGAGGUCCAAAAUCCAAAUAAAUGUUUACUUUACACGUUUUUUUCACUUCUACGCGAUAUUUUCUGGAGUGACCACCAGAUGUCUCACACAACUGGACUCACACGGCCACACAGCUGAGCUCAGUUCUUCACAAUACUCAUAUAGUUACCUUACAUAGAAAGAUAAGUAGAUAGAUUGACAGACAAAGACAGAAAUUCAUAUGGAAAGAGAGUUGAAAUAUCCUGACAGACCAUAGCUAUGCACAGACUAACGGAAUGAGCCAGCGGUCGGAAUGGUCAGACCCUUACAUCACCUACUCCCAGACGCCGAAAAGGAGGUCAACCGGGUUCUAAUGAAUGUGUUUCUAGGUUCACAGUACAGAAGAAGGGUCACACUACCAGAAGGGUCAUCAAACUACCCCUGGAAAUGCCCAAAACUCUUACGAAAGCCUUGGCAAAUGCGUGUUUCUAGGUUCACAGUACAGAAGAAGGGUCACACUACCAGAAGGGUCAUCAAACUACCCCUGGAAAUGCCCAAAACUCUUACGAAAGCCUUGUUAAAUAUGUGUUUCUAGGUUCACAGUACAGAAGAAGGGUCACACUACCAGAAGGGUCAUCAAACUACCCCUGGAAAUGCCCAAAACUCUUACAAAAGCCUUGGCAAAUAUGUGUUUCUAGGUUCACAGUACAGAAGAAGGGUCACACUACCAGAAGGGUCAUCAAACUACCCCUGGAAAUGCCCAAAACUCUUACGAAAGCCUUGGCAAAUGCGUGUUUCUAGGUUCACAGUACAGAAGAUGGGUCACACUACCAGAAGGGUCAUCAAACUACCCCUGGAAUUGCCCAAAACUCUUACAAAAGCCUUGUCAAAUAUGUGUUUCUAGGUUCACAGUACAAAAGAAGGGUUACACUACCAGAAGGGUCAACAAACUACCCCUGGAAAUGCCCAAAACUCUUACGAAAGCCUUAGCAAAUAUGUGUUUCUAGGUUCACAGUACAGAAGAAGGGUCACACUACCAGAAGGGUCAUCAAACUACCCCUGGAAAUGCCCAAAACUCUUACGAAAGCCUUGUCAAAUAUGUGUUUCUAGGUUCACAGUACAGAAGAAGGGUCACACUACCAGAAGGGUCAUCAAACUACCCCUGGAAAUGCCCAAAACUCUUACGAAAGCCUUGGCAAAUGCGUGUUUCUAGGUUCACAGUACAGAAGAAGGGUCACACUACCAGAAGGGUCAUCAAACUACCCCUGGAAAUGCCCAAAACUCUUACGAAAGCCUUGGCAAAUAUGUGUUUCUAGGUUCACAGUACAGAAGAAGGGUCACACUACCAGAAGGGUCAUCAAACUACCCCUGGAAAUGCCCAAAACUCUUACGAAAGCCUUGGCAAAUGCGUGUUUCUAGGUUCACAGUACAGAAGAAGGGUCACACUACCAGAAGGGUCAUCAAACUACCCCUGGAAAUGCCCAAAACUCUUACGAAAGCCUUGGCAAAUAUGUGUUUCUAAGUUCACAGUACAGAAGAAGGGUCACACUACCAGAAGGGUCAUCAAACUACCCCUGGAAAUGCCCAAAACUCUUACGAAAGCCUUGUUAAAUAUGUGUUUCUAGGUUCACAGUACAGAAGAAGGGUCACACUACCAGAAGGGUCAUCAAACUACCCCUGGAAAUGCCCAAAACUCUUACGAAAGCCUUGGCAAAUAUGUGUUUCUAGGUUCACAGUACAGAAGAAGGGUCACACUACCAGAAGGGUCAUCAAACUACCCCUGGAAAUGCCCAAAACUCUUACAAAAGCCUUGUUAAAUAUGUGUUUCUAGGUUCACAGUACAGAAGAAGGGUCACACUACCAGAAGGGUCAUCAAACUACCCCUGGAAAUGCCCAAAACUCUUACGAAAGCCUUGGCAAAUGUGUGUUUCUAGGUUCACAGUACAGAAGAUGGGUCACACUACCAGAAGGGUCAUCAAACUACCCCUGGAAAUGCCCAAAACUCUUACGAAAGCCUUGGGAAAUGCGUGUUUCUAGGUUCACAGUACAGAAGAUGGGUCACACUACCAGAAGGGUCAUCAAACUACCCCUGGAAAUGCCCAAAACUCUUACGAAAGCCUUGGCAAAUAUGUGUUUCUAGGUUCACAGUACAGAAGAAGGGUCACACUACCAGAAGGGUCAUCAAACUACCCCUGGAAAUGCCCAAAACUCUUACGAAAGCCUUGUCAAAUGCGUGUUUCUAGGUUCACAGUACAGAAGAAGGGUCACACUACCAGAAGGGUCAUCAAACUACCCCUGGAAAUGCCCAAAACUCUUACGAAAGCCUUGUCAAAUAUGUGUUUCUAGGUUCACAGUACAGAAGGGUUACACUACCAGAAGGGUCAUCAAACUACCCCUGGAAAUGCCCAAAACUCUUACGAAAGCCUUGUCAAAUAUGUGUUUCUAGGUUCACAGUACAGAAGAAGGGUCACACUACCAGAAGGGUCAUCAAACUACCCCUGGAAAUGCCCAAAACUCCUACGAAACCCUUAGCAAAUAUGUGUUUCUAGGUUCACAGUACAGAAGAAGGGUCACACUACCAGAAGGGUCAGCAAACUAUCCCUGGAAAUGCCCAAAACUCUUACGAAAGCCUUGUCAAAUAUGUGUUUCUAUGUUCACAGUACAGAAGGGUCACACUACCAGAAGGGUCAUCAAACUACCCCUGGAAAUGCCCAAAACUCUUACGAAAGCCUUGUCAAAUAUGUGUUUCUAGGUUCACAGUACAGAAGGGUCACACUACCAGAAGGGUCAUCAAACUACCCCUGGAAAUGCCCAAAACUCUUACGAAAGCCUUGUCAAAUAUGUGUUUCUUGGUUCACAGUACAGAAGAAGGGUCACACUACCAGAAGGGUCAUCAAACUACCCCUGGAAAUGCCCAAAACUCUUACAAAAACCUUGGCAAAUAUGUGUUUCUAGGUUCACAGUACAGAAGGGUCAUCAAACUACCCCUGGAAAUGCCCAAAACUCUUACGAAAGCCUUGUCAAAUAUGUGUUUCUAGGUUCACAGUACAGAAGAAGGGUCACACUACCAGAAGGGUCAUCAAACUACCCCUGGAAAUGCCCAAAACUCUUACGAAAGCCUUGUCAAAUAUGUGUUUCUAGGUUCACAGUACAGAAGAAGGGUCACACUACCAGAAGGGUCAUCAAACUACCCCUGGAAAUGCCCAAAACUCUUACGAAAGCCUUGGCAAAUGCGUGUUUCUAGGUUCACAGUACAGAAGAAGGGUCACACUACCAGAAGGGUCAUCAAACUACCCCUGGAAAUGCCCAAAACUCUUACGAAAGCCUUGUCAAAUAUGUGUUUCUAGGUUCACAGUACAGAAGAUGGGUCACACUACCAGAAGGGUCAUCAAACUACCCCUGGAAAUGCCCAAAACUCUUACGAAAGCCUUGUCAAAUAUGUGUUUCUAGGUUCACAGUACAGAAGAAGGGUCACACUACCAGAAGGGUCAUCAAACUACCCCUGGAAAUGCCCAAAACUCCUACAAAAGCCUUAGCAAAUAUGUGUUUCUAGGUUCACAGUACAGAAGGGUCACACUACCAGAAGGGUCAUCAAACUACCCCUGGAAAUGCCCAAAACUCCUACAAAAGCCUUGUCAAGUGUGUGAGCUUUGGCGAGGAAAGGUUUAAGGAUGUGCCCCUAAGCAGCGGGUGGAUGAGUAGCCCCUUCAGCGUAAG